GAAAAGAACUCUGAAUAGAGAGUUAAACAGUACGUGAAACUGCUUAGAGGUUAAGCCCGAUGAACCUGAAUAUCCGUUAUGGAAAAUUCAUCAUUAAAAUUGUAAUAUUUAAAUAAUAUUAUGAGAAUAGUGUGCAUUUUUUCCAUAUAAGGACAUUGUAAUCUAUUAGCAUAUACCAAAUUUAUCAUAAAAUAUAACUUAUAGUUUAUUCCAAUUAAAUUGCUUGCAUUUUAACACAGAAUAAAUGUUAUUAAUUUGAUAAAGUGCUGAUAGAUUUAUAUGAUUACAGUGCGUUAAUUUUUCGGAAUUAUAUAAUGGCAUAAUUAUCAUUGAUUUUUGUGUUUAUUAUAUGCACUUGUAUGAUUAACAAUGCGAAAGAUUCAGGAUACCUUCGGGACCCGUCUUGAAACACGGACCAAGGAGUCUAACAUAUGUGCAAGUUAUUGGGAUAUAAACCUAAUAGCGUAAUUAACUUGACUAAUAAUGGGAUUAGUUUUUUAGCUAUUUAUAGCUAAUUAACACAAUCCCGGGGCGUUCUAUAUAGUUAUGUAUAAUGUAUAUUUAUAUUAUUUAUGCCUCUAACUGGAACGUACCUUGAGCAUAUAUGCUGUGACCCGAAAGAUGGUGAACUAUACUUGAUCAGGUUGAAGUCAGGGGAAACCCUGAUGGAAGACCGAAACAGUUCUGACGUGCAAAUCGAUUGUCAGAAUUGAGUAUAGGGGCGAAAGACCAAUCGAACCAUCUAGUAGCUGGUUCCUUCCGAAGUUUCCCUCAGGAUAGCUGGUGCAUUUUAAUAUUAUAUAAAAUAAUCUUAUCUGGUAAAGCGAAUGAUUAGAGGCCUUAGGGUCGAAACGAUCUUAACCUAUUCUCAAACUUUAAAUGGGUAAGAACCUUAACUUUCUUGAUAUGAAGUUCAAGGUUAUGAUAUAAUGUGCCCAGUGGGCCACUUUUGGUAAGCAGAACUGGCGCUGUGGGAUGAACCAAACGUAAUGUUACGGUGCCCAAAUUAACAACUCAUGCAGAUACCAUGAAAGGCGUUGGUUGCUUAAAACAGCAGGACGGUGAUCAUGGAAGUCGAAAUCCGCUAAGGAGUGUGUAACAACUCACCUGCCGAAGCAACUAGCCCUUAAAAUGGAUGGCGCUUAAGUUGUAUACCUAUACAUUACCGCUAAAGUAGAUGAUUUAUAUUACUUGUGAUAUAAAUUUUGAAACUUUAGUGAGUAGGAAGGUACAAUGGUAUGCGUAGAAGUGUUUGGCGUAAGCCUGCAUGGAGCUGCCAUUGGUACAGAUCUUGGUGGUAGUAGCAAAUAAUCGAAUGAGACCUUGGAGGACUGAAGUGGAGAAGGGUUUCGUGUGAACAGUGGUUGAUCACGAGUUAGUCGGUCCUAAGUUCAAGGCGAAAGCCGAAAAUUUUCAAGUAAAACAAAAAUGCCUAACUAUAUAAACAAAGCGAAUUAUAAUACACUUGAAUAAUUUUGAACGAAAGGGAAUACGGUUCCAAUUCCGUAACCUGUUGAGUAUCCGUUUGUUAUUAAAUAUGGGCCUCGUGCUCAUCCUGGCAACAGGAACGACCAUAAAGAAGCCGUCGAGAGAUAUCGGAAGAGUUUUCUUUUCUGUUUUAUAGCCGUACUACCAUGGAAGUCUUUCGCAGAGAGAUAUGGUAGAUGGGCUAGAAGAGCAUGACAUAUACUGUUGUGUCGAUAUUUUCUCCUCGGACCUUGAAAAUUUAUGGUGGGGACACGCAAACUUCUCAACAGGCCGUACCAAUAUCCGCAGCUGGUCUCCAAGGUGAAGAGUCUCUAGUCGAUAGAAUAAUGUAGGUAAGGGAAGUCGGCAAAUUAGAUCCGUAACUUCGGGAUAAGGAUUGGCUCUGAAGAUUGAGAUAGUCGGGCUUGAUUGGGAAACAAUAACAUGGUUUAUGUGCUCGUUCUGGGUAAAUAGAGUUUCUAGCAUUUAUGUUAGUUACUUGUUCCCCGGAUAGUUUAGUUACGUAGCCAAUUGUGGAACUUUCUUGCUAAAAUUUUUAAGAAUACUAUUUGGGUUAAACCAAUUAGUUCUUAUUAAUUAUAACGAUUAUCAAUUAACAAUCAAUUCAGAACUGGCACGGACUUGGGGAAUCCGACUGUCUAAUUAAAACAAAGCAUUGUGAUGGCCCUAGCGGGUGUUGACACAAUGUGAUUUCUGCCCAGUGCUCUGAAUGUCAAAGUGAAGAAAUUCAAGUAAGCGCGGGUCAACGGCGGGAGUAACUAUGACUCUCUUAAGGGGAUCAUGGGGUAUUGGAGAGCAGAGGGGGAGUAUUCUUCUGUAAUUCGUAAGUCAUAUCAUAUGAUGUGCGGAAGGGGAAUUUUACUCUGUAACUCACAAGUCUCUCCUUUACUCAAGUCGACUCAAAACCUCCUCGUGGUGGUCCCCGGUAAUGCUAAACUCGUUUAGCAGCUAAUUUGAGCGGCAAAACUUUUCCGAUGGGCUGGUUCCCCAGAGGAAAUUUAUUCAUAUUGGAACUACAAGCACAAAUAACGAGCCUCGGAUACCUUUACACAAUCUGAUGACGACCCGACCCUCCGUGGAUAUCUUCCCGGAGGACCAAUAUGAACCAAACGCAGCGGCUACUCUAUCUAGGGUUCCCUGCACAGUAUGUGGCCGGUCCUUUAACAGCAAGAGAGGACUCGGUGUUCACAUGCGAUCUCGGCACCCAGACGAACUUGAUGAAGAACGUCGACGUGUCGAUAUAAAGGCAAGAUGGAGUGAUGAAGAGAAGUGGAUGAUGGCGAGAAAGGAGGUUGAGCUCACAGCAAAUGGAUGUAAACACAUAAACAAGCAACUAGCGGUGUAUUUUGCAAACCGCAGCGUCGAAGCCAUCAAA
rnacentral:rRNA from 1 species